GGCCCGUGACGUAGUUUUCAGCGACGCGAGAUAGAAGCCACAACAGAGCAGUUAGCAUGUUGACAGUAGUUCCAGCCCAGCUAGCAUGUGUAAUCUAUAGUGGAUCAUUGUUGGCGUUUGAACGGCAAGCCGCCUGUGGUAUGCCACCUGUGUCCGACAUCGGACCACUGACGGUUACAAAACACACAAGGCAUCGGUGGAUUUUGGUUGGCAAUCCGACAUAGUGCACGAGUACUCUGCAGGGUCCAAACAGCGGCAUGCUACCUGACAAUCCAUCUGCGUGAGAGCCAGGUUACAUGCUACCACCAGCCCCUAGCACCAAUGGAGGAGGACCGCCUACUCAUUUGGUGCCAGCAUCGUUUGCAUCAGAUAAAUCACAACAAAGAUAUGGUGACCCAAGACCCACGGUUAUAUAAGGAGGUGUAUGAAGAAACGACAGCAUAGAGGACCCAGCACAUCCCCUCACAGAUUCCAUGCCUUUCAAAAUAUUAGAACAAGAUUUCAAGGCAUUUUCCUUAAAGAACUUGCAACAUUUCAGGAGUGCGUCACCAUUUGGGUUUUCAUUUUGUACAAUACAUCACCUAACACCAAGAACGCUACAUUUUGUAAGCUAUGUUUCUUGCAUUGCCAGUAACCAAUAUUUAAAAGAAAAAAGAAUGUGUAUAUAUACAUUGAUAUCUUAUUUGUCAUUAUUUACACUUU